GACGAACGCUGGCGGCGUGCUUAACACAUGCAAGUCGAACGGAAAGGCCCUGCUUUUGUGGGGUGCUCGAGUGGCGAACGGGUGAGUAACACGUGAGUAACCUGCCCUUGACUUUGGGAUAACUUCAGGAAACUGGGGCUAAUACCGGAUAGGAGCUCCUGCUGCAUGGUGGGGGUUGGAAAGUUUCGGCGGUUGGGGAUGGACUCGCGGCUUAUCAGCUUGUUGGUGGGGUAGUGGCUUACCAAGGCUUUGACGGGUAGCCGGCCUGAGAGGGUGACCGGCAGCAUGGGGAUGGAGCAAAGGCCCAGACUCCCCCGGGAGGGAGAAGGGGGGAAGAUAGGACAAGGGGGGGGAGCCUAAUGAAGUAACCCCCGGUGGGGGAAUACGGCUUUUGGGUGGGAAACCACUUUCGCCGGGAAGGAAGGGUGGAGGGCGGUAAGGAGUAAGAAAGCACCGGCAAACUGCGG
rnacentral:rRNA from 1 species